rnacentral:rRNA from 1 species
UCCUACGGGGGGCAGCAGUAGGGAAUAUUGCACAAUGGGCGAAAGCCUGAUGCAGCAACGCCGCGUGCGCGAUGAAGGCCUUCGGGUCGUAAAGCGCUUUUCGGGGAGAUGAGGAAGGACAGUAUCCCCGGAAUAAGGCUCGGCUAACUACGUGCCAGCAGCCGCGGUAAAACGUAGGAGCCAAGCGUUAUCCGAAUUCACUGGGCGUAAAGCGUGUGCAGGCGGAGUGGUAAGUUGGAUGUGAAAUCUCCUGGCUCAACUGGGAGAGGCCGUUCAAUACUGCCGGUCUUGAGGGCAACAGAGGGAGGUGGAAUUCCCGGUGUAGUGGUGAAAUGCGUAGAUAUCGGGAGGAACACCAGUGGCGAAAGCGGCCUCCUGGGUUGCACCUGACGCUCAGACACGAAAGCUAGGGGAGCGAACGGGAUUAGAUACCCCCGUAGUCCG